UACGUAGGGGGCAAGCGUUGUCCGGAAUCAUUGGGCGUAAAGCGCGUGUAGGCGGCUUGGUAAGUCCGCUCUGAAAGCCCGGGGCUCAACCCCGGGAGGCGGGUGGAUACUGUCAAGCUCGAGUCCGGAAGAGGCGAGUGGAAUUCCUGGUGUAGCGGUGAAAUGCGCAGAUAUCAGGAAGAACACCAAUGGCGAAAGCAGCUUUCUGGGACGGUACUGACGCUGAGACGCGAAAGCGUGGGGAGCGAACAGG
rnacentral:rRNA from 1 species